rnacentral:rRNA from 1 species
AUUGAACGCUGGCGGCAGGCCUAACACAUGCAAGUCGAGCGAGCGGCGGAGGGGUGAGAAAUGUGUGGGACACUGCCCGAUGGAGGGGGAUAACUACUGGAAACGGUAGCUAAUACCGCACACCAUCAGAUGUGCCCCGAUGGGAUUAGCUAGUAGGUGGGGUAACGGCUCACCUAGGCGACGAUCCCUAGCUGGUCUGAGAGGAUGACCAGCCACACUGGAACUGAGACACGGUCCAGACUCCUACGGGAGGCAGCAGUGGGGAAUAUUGCACAAUGGGCGCAAGCCUGAUGCAGCCAUGCCGCGUGUAUGAAGAAGGCCUUCGGGUUGUAAAGCACUUUCAGCGAGGAGGCGUUACUCGCAGAAGAAGCACCGGCUAACUCCGUGCCAGCAGCCGCGGUAAUUC